GUGUAACAACUCACCUGCCGAAUGAACUAGCCCUGAAAAUGGAUGGCGCUCAAGCGUACUACCAAUACCUCGCCGCUAGGGUAGAAACGAUGCCCUAGCGAGUAGGCAGGCGUGGAGGCCCGUGACGAAGCCUUGGGGGUGACCCCGGGUAGAACGGCCUCUAGUGCAGAUCUUGGUGGUAGUAGCAAAUAUUCAAAUGCGAACUUUGAAGGCCGAAGUGGGGAAAGGUUCCAUGUGAACAGCAAUUGGACAUGGGUGAGUCGAUCCUAAGACAUAGGUUAGUACCGUUCGGAAGUGGUCUGUUCUCGGAUAGACCCGCCUAUCGAAAGGGA
rnacentral:rRNA from 14 species